rnacentral:rRNA from 1 species
AGUGAACGCUGGCGGUAGGCCUAACACAUGCAAGUCGAACGGCAGCACAGGAGAGCUUGCUCUCUGGGUGGCGAGUGGCGGACGGGUGAGGAAUACAUCGGAAUCUACCUUUUCGUGGGGGAUAACGUAGGGAAACUUACGCUAAUACCGCAUACGACCUUCGGGUGAAAGCAGGGGACAUUCGGGCUUGGCGCGGAGAGCUGAGCCGAUGUCGGAUUAGCAAGUUGGCGGGGUAAAGGCCCACCAAGGCGCCGAUCCGUAGCUGGGCUGAGAGGAUGAUCAGCCACACUGGAACUGAGACACGGUCCAGACUCCUACGGGAGGCAGCAGUGGGGAAUAUUGGACAAUGGGCGCAAGCCUGAUCCAGCCAUACCGCGUGGGUGAAGAAGGCCUUCGGGUUGUAAAGCCCUUUUGUUGGGAAAGAAAAGCAGCCAGUUAAUACCUGGUUGUUCUGACGGUACCCAAAGAAUAAGCACCGGCUAACUUCGUGCCAGCAGCCGCCGCAGUAA